rnacentral:rRNA from 1 species
GAGAAAGGCUGGGGGCGUGCUUAACACAUGCAAGUCGAACGAAGUUUUUCUUUCGGGAGGAACUUAGUGGCGGACGGGUGAGUAACGCGUGGGUAACCUGCCCUGUACAGGGGGACAACAGCUGGAAACGGCUGCUAAUACCGCCUAAGCCCUUAGCACUGCAUGGUGCAUAGGGAUAAGGAGCAAUCCGGUACAGGAUGGACCCGCGUCUGAUUAGCCAGUUGGCAGGGUAACGGCCUACCAAAGCGACGAUCAGUAGCCGAUCUGAGAGGAUGUACGGCCACAUUGGGACUGAGACACGGCCCAGACUCCUACGGGAGGCAGCAGUGGGGAAUAUUGCACAAUGGAGGAAACUCUGAUGCAGCGACGCCGCGUGAGUGAAGAAGUAUUUCGGUAUGUAAAGCUCUAUCAGCAGGAAAGAAAAUGACGGUACCUGACUAAGAAGCACCGGCUAAAUACGUG